rnacentral:rRNA from 1 species
AUUGAACGCUGGCGGCAUGCUUUACACAUGCGAGUCGAACGGCAGCGCGGGCUUCGGCCUGGCGGCGAGUGGCGAACGGGUGAGUAAUACAUCGGAACGUGCCCAGUAGUGGGGGAUAGCUCGGCGAAAGCCGGAUUAAUACCGCAUACGACCUGAGGGUGGAAGCGGGGGAUCUUCGGACCUCGCGCUAUUGGAGCGGCCGAUGGCAGAUUAGCUAGUUGGUGGGGUAAAGGCCUACCAAGGCGACGAUCUGUAGCUGGUCUGAGAGGACGACCAGCCACACUGGGACUGAGACACGGCCCAGACUCCUACGGGAGGCAGCAGUGGGGAAUUUUGGACAAUGGGCGAAAGCCUGAUCCAGCAAUGCCGCGUGUGUGAUGAAGGCCUUCGGGUUGUAAAGCACUUUUGGCGGGAACGAAAAGGACUGUGCCAAUACCACGGUUCGAUGACGGUACCCGCAGAAUAAGCACCGGCUAACUACGUG